GACUGAGGUGGUACAUCUGUCAAAGAGUAACGCAGGUGUCCUAGAGCUCAGUGAGGACGGAAGCCUCGCGUAGAGCAAAUAAGCUGAAAUAACUUUAUUUUGGAAAUGUCAGAUUUAUGUUAUGCUUGUUCGAGAGG
rnacentral:ncRNA from 1 species